CAAAGUGCUGGGUUUACAGGCGUGAGCCACUGUGCCUGGCUGACAGAAAUUAAAUUCUGAAUGAAGUAGCAUGUUCAUAGUUCUUGCAAAAGUUGUUUUAUUAUUAUUUAAAUGCUGGAUUGCUGUGUAUUUUUGGAGUUAAUUGUUCCAUUUCCAUACAUGUUUAAGAAAACUGUGGUCUUUCAUCCAGUUAGAUUGCAGGUUCUCUGAGCACAGGGACAGUGUUUUGUCUAGUUAUAUCUCUCCAUAUUUCUGAGUGCAUGGUAAACCUUUGGUAAAUGUUGUCAUAGGUUGUUACAUUAGUUUUGUUUGGGAUUGUGAUUUAAGGUACGUGAUUGACCUGGGAUGUCUCAAACUGUGUAAAGGAACUAUGCUCUAAGAUAGGUUCUGCUGAAGCUCAAGACAUACCUGUAUUACACCCGCUCACUUUCUUGUUACGAUUGAGGAACUGAAGUGUUCAGAUAGAGUAAGUAUGUAAAGAGCUAGAAAUCCUCCUGAGAUGACAAGAUGAACAGAAAGAGCAUUAAUAUUGUUUCAUGCUAGAUUUGACACAAUGUAAGUUAACUUUUUGUCUUUAAGAUCUUCUUUCAUUCUAGUCAGUGGAUUGCUAAUUGUCUAGUGGUUUAAAAGAAAACAAGACCAUUAGAGUUGUAACUUUUAUUACAGUUUUUUCUAAUGUAUCCUUGACAGAUUAAAAUGUAACAUUUAAAUUCGUUACAUUUUGAAGAUUUAGGUUUGGUUGGAAUGAAGUUAGUUGUAGUUGUAGAGGGUAAUCACCUCAGUUAAUUAAGGCAUAGUGCUGAUAAGGCCAAGGUCACCCUGGCAGGUGUUAUUUAAUUUUACCUUGUCCAACUUAUCCACAAAUUCCUGGGAAGAGUACAGUGUGUUUAGUUCAGAUCUACUCAUUUGAUACAGAUGCCAUAGAUAAUAGUGACCUCUUUUUAUAGGAAUGCCAGCUCAUUUUUGAGAUCUAAUUAUUGAUUAUUUACAUACAAUUUCACACUAAUUUAGGACUUUUAGAAGAUACUUAAUGAUUGCAAAAGUUUUGUACUUGUGUCAUUGUCAUAGCAAGAUUUGAAUAGUUAACCAGCUUAUGGGUUGCCACAGUGCUCUGGAUGGUAGACUUUCAGAGCAGUGACGAAAGGAACAAACAUUUAUUGAACAAUUUUGCGGCUUUUAGUAGUCUAAUCCCUUUAAUUUGUAGAUGGGAAAACUGAGGCUCAGAAAUAGGAAAUUCUGAUUACGAAUUGAGUUUUGGACAUGUUAAGUGUGAGAAACUUGUUAAACCUUCAAAUUGAGAUGUCAGGUGGGCAACUGGUUUUACAAAUCUUGAGUUAGGGGAGAGAUCCAACUUGGAGAUACAAAUUUUUAAAUUAUCAUGAAGUAGAUGAUAUUUAAAGCCCAGGGAUUGUCUAAGAUCCCCAAAGUAGUUAGAGGUUAGAGAGAAGAGGACCAAAGCUUGGGGCACUUGGCUCUUUAAUUCAGAAAGAUAAGGAAGCCAACAAAGAAGUUUGAGGAAGAAAAGCUACUGAGAUUGGAGGAAAACCAGGAGAAUGUCUUGGAAGCCAUGUGAGAACAGUAUGUUUAAUUGUGGAUUAUAGAACCAGAGAGCUUCAGACUAAGCCAUUUAACAAAUAAUUUAGUGAUUGUUGUAUUUUGCCUAAGAGUUCUUUUUAUUUCAAAUGCCGAAGUUGCAGAGGCAAAAGUGUUUAAUAAUUUCGUGGAUUCAAUUACAUGUUACAAAUUUUUUAAUGGGGCUAGAAUGUGAAGGUGCUGAAGUCAUGGCUUGCUGUGUAAUAUUCUAGCUAUUUGUUGAUGUAGUUGUAUACUUAAGUAUGGACCUAACUGGUGUGUUAUGAAAUGAGAGAAAAACAUGUAAUAGGUUUUGCUCAGUUUAUAAUCUGGUCAAGGAUAUAGGAAGACAUAACAAGUGUAUCAAACAUGAAUCUUAGUCCAAAAACUCAGAUAGAAAGAAGGUACCACAUUUGCUUUCUUUAAAUUAACUUGAUUUGACUUCUACUUCUUUGGCAAGAAAUUCAACCUCAGUCAUCCUUGGGGUCCCCUCUCCUCAUGUUAUUGGAAGGCCUGGUGUCAUAUGGUUCAGAUUUUGCCUGCAUUGGUUAUGAUACUGUCUUCCAUUGCCUUCCACAAGGUUCCAUCAGGUUCUGUGGCUCUGCCACCAACUGUGGGCCCUAGUGCCUGUGGCUUGACACCUAGUUUAUAUCUAGCAGACACUUUUUACUGAGGUCUUGCUGCCUGUUCAGUUGCUGCCAUGGAGUUGAUUCCAUCCUCUCUAGAAUUUCUUCUGAGAUUGCUCACAAGGUCUACUCCUUUCUUUCAUCAAGUCAUUCAACAUGGCCUCUUCUUGGGUUUUACUAAACACAAGGUGCUGGUCUACCUUCCGUGCCACUGGAAUCUCUGAACAAAGGUUUUUGAAAGCCUGGCUGUUUGACUGGAAAUCGAAGGGAGGGAUGGAAAUAGAAGGAUGUGAGUGACAUAGGAAAAACAUAUAUGAAUUAGCGUUCCAAAAACUAGCCCCAAGAGGAAAUAUAAAGUGCCAAAUGUCAAUAAAAGUAUGGUUGCUUGGAGUGUACUUGGAGUGAGUUGAAAACUUCAUGAAGAUGAGACUUGAACUGAGCCUUAAAGGAUGGGUAGAGUUCAUUAUAAAUGAGGGUGUCUAUUGUGCUUCUGUAUCUAAGGCAGUACCUUCAUGUGUAUGUUGGGUGGUGGUGACACAUGCAUGAGUCGGGCGUGUGUGGCAUGUUUGGGAGUGAGUGGUGUGUGUGUUUGUGACAGGAAGGAGUUGAGAGUUUAUACUGUUGCAGAAGAGCCUCAGAAAGAGAAUUGUGGAACAGUCAGCUGGAUGGAUUUAGAAAGGGAAGAUGCUUAGAAGGCUUUUAUGGUAGUUCUGACCUGAACUGGAAAAGGAUUGAUGGCAGUGGGAAUGAGAAGACAGUAAUUAGAUAGAAACCACUAGAAAGAAUCUGUGGGGAGAAGGCAGAAUUUAAGGUGAUUCUGAGUUCUCUGCUGGGUGCAGAGGUAUUAAUAGUGUCAUUAAUGGAAACUGGAGAAGUCAAGAUAGGAGUUUGUUGUGAGAAGAAAAUAAGGGGUUUAAUGGAGGAUUUGAUAACCUGGUGAAGCCCUGAAAUGAGGUUAGAUUUGUAGAUAAAGGGUUUUACCAUAUCAUCGAUCUUCACGAUCCUGGUCUAGACCGGUUGUUUUUCCUGUUGACUAUUGCGAAGAAGACAGUGAUGAAAGAAUAUACUGAUGAGAAAAGAGAUGAGUAUGUGCGAUACUUUGGCUUAAGAGUUAAGUAGUUUGAAGUUUUUUAUUUACAGAAAUUUUAUAGUUCAAAAUUGCUUUGUAAUAUUUUAAGAGCCUGAAAAUUUAGCAUGCUUGGAAAAUCCGUUUUAGUUUUAGCUUUCGUCUUUAUAUCCCUAAGAUGUUCUCUGAGCAUUUGUAAAUCUCCGCAGAUUUAUAUUAAUAAGCUAAUAAUUAUUUAUAUUAGUAAGUAUAAAUUUGUAUUAAUAAAGCUAAUAAAAAUCUUUAAGGCUGCUUUUUGUUGUUGUUGUUGUUUGAGACAGAGUCUCGCCGGGCCGCCCGGGCUGGAGUGCAGUGGCGCAAUCUCUGCUCACUACAACCUACACCUCCCAGGUUCAAGCAAUUCUCCUGCCUCAGCCUCCUGAGUAGCUGAGUAGUAUAACUUCUCAUCAUUUGAAACUACUGGCAAUUGAGCUUAUCUCAGUUUGUUUCCUGAGUUUGCACUUGAAGAGAAUUAUUUGUGUGUAUUUUUUUUUUUUUUUUUUUUGAGAUGGAGUUUCGCUCUUGUUGCCCAGACUGGAGUGCAGUGCUGCAGUCUCGGCUCGCUGCAACCUCCACCUCCUGGGUUCAAGUGAUUAUCUUGCCUCAGCCUCCCGAGUAGCUGGGAUUAUAGGCACCUGCCACCACGCCCAGCAAGUUUUGUGUUUUUGGUAGAGACGGGGUUUCGCCAUGUUGACCAGGCUGGUCUUGAACUCCUGACCUCAAGUGAUCCACCCGCCUCGGCCUCCCAAAGUGCUGGGAUUAUAGGCAUCAGCCAUUGCGCCCCACCGAGAAUUAUUUCAUUUCUUCAGUUCUCUAUGAUUGUUUAGUAGGUGGUUGGGGAAAUUUGUAGUGUAGCUACAAUUUUGAGGAAUUGACUUCAAUAUAAAUAUAAUUCUUGUACAGUGUUUAGUAAUGCUUCACAAAUAUUAAACAUGACAGUAUAAAAAAUGUUCCAUUAUGUAAGUCCCUUUCCCCCGCCUGCUAUUAGUACAUAUACCAUAUUUCUGCACUUUUAUUAUCUGAAUUGGAAAGUAUAUAAUUAAAAACAGUUACGAAUUUAGUACUUGUCAAUUUAGUAGUAGUAAAUGGUUGAUAUAUUUAGAGACAUUAUUCAUUCUACAGGCAGAGCUUGAUGCACAAAUGGAUUCCUGGUCUCCUUGGUCCACAGGAUGGGAACUGUUGGUAUUGCAUUUGAACCAAGGAAUAUUUGUCUUAAGAGUAGCAGUUUUGUCCCGUUCUCCUUAAAGAAGGCCUAGAUUAUGUUGAUUUUAUUGUGGUUUUAUUUUACCAAUUAAUUGAAGUUUGAGUCCUUGGAUAGAAUUUGCAAAUCUGCUUUGCAUGCAAAAUUAAACUUGUAAACUAAAUUUACUUGGGCGUAUGAAUAUAUUUAAUACUUAAAGUGAUAUUUGGUAAGUUUUAUUUCAAGGUAGAGUAUUAACUUUUAGAGCUGGCUACUUUGGAAAUAAUUUUAUGUACUUUUUGGAAUGUUUUGACAUCUGGAAAAAGUGUACUCUGUUAAUUUCUUUGUAAUACUGCAAAAAAACACAUAGUUCAGUUGAUGUUAUCCUUACUGUUCAGUGCUGUUUACUAAUUACCACAGGUAGAAAUGGCUGUCUCAGAUAAUCUUCAAUGAAUUUUUUCUUUUCUUUUUUUUUUUUGAGACAAAGUCUCACUCUGAGUGCAAUGGUGUGAUCAUGGCUCACUGCAGCCUCAAGUCCCCUGGGCUGAAGCGAUCCUCCUGCCUCAGCCUCCUGAGUAGCUGGGACUACAGGCAUGUGCCACCACCCUGGGCUAAUUUUUGUAUUUUUUGAAGAGAUGUGGUUUUGCCAUGUUGCCCAGGCUGGUCUCGAACUCUUGGAUUCAAGCAAUCCACCUACCUAGGCCUCCUGUGCUGGGAUUACAGGCGUGAGCACCUAGCCACUCUUCAAUGAAUUUUACCUUGCAGUUACUAAACAACAUUCCUGCAAUGUUUCAAGUUCUCUCAGAGUGAACACUGUACAUCAUUACGUUUUUUUUUUUUUUUCCUUGAGACAGCCUUGCUCUGUCAUCCCAGGCUGAAGCACAGUAGCACAAUCAUAACUCACUGUAGUCUUGAACUCCUGUACUCAAAUGAUACUCCUUCCUUGGCCUCCUGAGUAGCUGGGACUAUAGGCACAGGCGACUGCACCUGGCUAAUUAAAAAAAAGUUUUUUUUUUGGUCGGGCAUAGUGGCUCGCGCCUGUAAUGCCAGCUCUUUGGGACGCUGAGGCAGGUGGAUCACUUGAGGCCAGGAGUUUGAGACCAGCCUGGCCAACACAGUGAAACUCCGUCUCUACUAAAAAUAAAAAAAUUGGCUGGGCAUGGUGGGAUGCGCCUGUGGUCCCAGCUACUCUGGAGGCUGAGGCAGGAGAUUCACUUGAACCUGGGAGUGAAGGCUGCAGUGAGCCAAGAUUGUGCCACUGCACUCCAGCUUGGGUGACAAAGUGAGACUGUCUCAACAACAACAAAAAUCGUGUUUUUUUUUUUUUUUCCUUUUUUGUAGUGAUGGAGUCUUGCUGUGUUGCCCAGGUUGGUCUUGAAUCCUGGACUCAAGUGAUCCUCCCACCUCAUUCUCCCAAAGUGCUGGGAUUAAAGACUUGAGCCACUGUGCUUAUUAUCUAAUAUAAGGCACAUCUCAAAACUCUUGAGCUUGGUUUUGGUAUUGCUUAGUUACCUGGAUUUUCAGAGGUUGGUGGGCUAAUUAGGCAGCUGUCUGUCCAUUAUUUUACCAGGCAUUUAUGACAGUGAUUAUUUUUUAUGACAGUUUUUUGUUUGUUUUUUAAAUCAGCCUGGACAUUUAAAUAUAUUGUGCCAGCAUAUUAGUUACAUGAAGAUUAGCUAAGAUAACAUAAGGUUACGGGCUGUUUAGUUGCACCUACAAACAUAGUAAGACUUAUCAAAACAAGUAUGGAUUUUGAAUGUGAAUAUUUUAAAAGAUAUAUUGAAAUUACUUAGAGUAGCCCUGGAUAUAUGUUCAUUAUGGCAUUUAUCUUGUUAAUAAGUUUCUACAUGCUCAUUUUAAUUUCCAGUAGCAUGAGCAAGUAACUUAUAUUUCAUUCCCGAGAAACUAAAAGAAUCUGCCUAAAGAGUAUGAAAAUUGCCAUUAAAUCUGUAUUGUCUACUUUCUGGAUGGUUAUAUCAUUAUAGUUCUCUGCUCUUCCACACAUUUUUGGGCUGCUAUCAGUUUGUAAGUAAUCAUUAUACAAACUAAAUUUAAAAAUUUAAACAAGAUAAUUUUAUAUUACUUGGAUCAGGGAAAAAAAUGCAGUUGCUGAAGGUGGUUUCAUAGCUAAAUAUAAGCAAUUAUUUUGCUUUUUCUACUUUUUUGGAUUUUAUCAUCUUUUCCCUUUUAGUAAUAGAGUAAUACAGGUAGGAAUUAACUUAGCACUGCCAAAUUAAUAGUAAUAUUAGAACUGUGUACACAGCACAGGGUUAAGGUUAUAUAGAAAAAUGUCUCAUCCAUGUUUAAUUUGGCUGACCAGCCCAGUUGAUUAGCCAAUUUUAUUGUUUUGUUAAAUUAAAAUUCUAAAUAUAGUUGUCCAUUGUUAAAAUAAGUGAGUAGGGUUAAAAUAGAGAAUUGAUAAAAAUAAAGCCUUAAAAAUCUUUUAGCUAAAGUAGCAGGCUUCAAGUGAAAUUCAGUUUUGGUCUCCUUUACAGGAAUAGCUAUUCAGUCAGACAGAACCACUUAUCACGUUUUGCAGUAUCUCCUGAGGAAGUCAGAAUUCUGAGCCAGCAUGAAGACGGAAUCUUGUCUUUGAUCUGAUUUGCAAACCGUACUUUUAUUCUAAUCAUGUGCAAGGUGGAGGUUAUAGCGUGGGAACUAAAAUCUUACUUCCUGCCUGACACAGCUCACUUCAAGAAGUGCACAAUGUCAGAACGUGGAAUUAAGUGGGCUUGUGAAUAUUGUACGUAUGAAAACUGGCCAUCUGCAAUCAAGUGUACUAUGUGUCGUGCCCAAAGACCUAGUGGAACAAUUAUUACAGAAGAUCCAUUUAAAAGUGGUUCAAGUGAUGUUGGUAGAGAUUGGGAUCCUUCCAGCACCGAAGGAGGAAGUAGUCCUUUGAUAUGUCCAGACUCUAGUGCAAGACCAAGGGUGAAAUCUUCGUAUAGCAUGGAAAAUGCAAAUAAGUGGUCAUGCCACAUGUGUACAUAUUUGAACUGGCCAAGAGCAAUCAGAUGUACCCAGUGCUUAUCCCAACGUAGGACCAGGAGUCCUACAGAAUCUCCUCAGUCCUCAGGAUCUGGCUCAAGACCAGUUGCUUUUUCUGUUGAUCCUUGUGAGGAAUACAAUGAUAGAAAUAAACUGAACACUAGGACACAGCACUGGACUUGCUCUGUUUGCACAUAUGAAAACUGGGCCAAGGCUAAAAGAUGUGUUGUUUGUGAUCAUCCCAGACCUAAUAACAUUGAAGCAAUAGAAUUGGCAGAGACUGAAGAGGCUUCUUCAAUAAUAAAUGAGCAAGACAGAGCUCGAUGGAGGGGAAGUUGCAGUAGUGGUAAUAGCCAAAGGAGAUCACCUCCUGCUACGAAGCGGGACUCUGAAGUGAAAAUGGAUUUUCAGAGGAUUGAAUUGGCUGGUGCUGUGGGAAGCAAGGAGGAACUUGAAGUAGACUUUAAAAAACUAAAGCAAAUUAAAAACAGGAUGAAAAAGACUGAUUGGCUCUUCCUCAAUGCUUGUGUGGGGGUUGUAGAAGGUGAUUUAGCUGCCAUAGAAGCAUACAAGUCAUCAGGAGGAGACAUUGCACGUCAGCUCACCGCAGAUGAAGUACGCUUGCUGAAUCGUCCUUCUGCCUUUGAUGUUGGCUAUACUCUUGUACACUUGGCUAUACGUUUUCAGAGGCAGGAUAUGCUAGCAAUAUUGCUUACAGAGGUGUCUCAACAAGCAGCAAAGUGUAUUCCAGCAAUGGUGUGUCCUGAACUGACAGAACAAAUCCGGAGAGAGAUAGCUGCCUCUCUUCAUCAGAGAAAGGGGGAUUUUGCUUGCUAUUUUCUGACUGACCUUGUAACAUUUACAUUGCCAGCAGAUAUUGAAGAUUUGCCCCCAACAGUCCAAGAAAAAUUAUUUGAUGAGGUGCUUGAUAGAGACGUUCAAAAAGAAUUAGAAGAAGAAUCUCCAAUUAUUAACUGGUCCUUGGAAUUGGCUACACGUUUGGACAGUCGACUGUAUGCACUUUGGAACCGGACUGCAGGAGACUGCCUACUUGAUUCAGUUCUACAAGCUACCUGGGGCAUCUAUGACAAGGACUCAGUGCUUCGGAAAGCCCUGCAUGACAGCCUGCAUGACUGUUCACAUUGGUGAUCAUCAGAGAAAUUAUUUAUGGAAAGAAAUCUCAGGGAGAUGAUCUUGAUACUAUGAACACACGGAAUAUUUCCCACCUGUUGUUUAUACAAGUGAUCAAGUUUUACACACGCUGGAAAGAUUGGGAAUCAUGGUAUUCUCAGAGCUUUGGUUUACAUUUUUCCUUGAGAGAAGAACAGUGGCAAG